AUGAACGGGACCGUGAACCCGCUACUGGACCUCGAGGAACAUUGUCUGCGGCUCGGGGAGAGCUUCGAGAAGCGGCCGUGGGCCUCCUCCACACCAUUCGCUAUGAUUUUAAGCCAGCAUCUAUAGACACUUCCUGUGAAGGAGAGCUUCAGGUUGGCAAAGGAUAUGAAGUCACAAUUACACUGCCACAUAUCCCUAGCUGAGGGGAGCAGUAAAAUCCAGGCCUGAAUGGAACAGCAGCCUACUCGAACCGAACCCCACAGCCAUCACAGCCACCACCACCUCCACCACCUAUGCCAUUCAGAGCUCCAAUGAAGCCUCCAGUGGGACCCAAAACGUCUCCCGUAAAAGAUAACCCCUCACCUGAACCUCAGUUGGAUGAUAUCAAAAGAGAACUGAGAGCCGAAGUCGACGUUAUUGAACAGAUGAGCAGCAGCAGUGGGAGCAGCUCCUCAGACUCUGAGAGCUCCUCGGGAAGUGAUGACGAUAGCUCCAGCAGUGGAGGCGAGGACAAUGGCCCAGCCUCUCCUCCACAGCCUUCACACCAGCAGCCCUACAACAGCAGGCCUGCCAUUGCCAAUGGAACCAGCCGGCCACAAGGAAGCAACCAGCUCAUGAACACCCUCAGAAAUGACUUGCAGUUGAGUGAGUCUGGCAGUGACAGUGAUGACUAGCACUGGAUCUUUCAAAAUCGACUUUUUGGUGCACAAACAUGCUACAAGACCGGGCUACUUUAGCAUGGAGUCCAUUGCCAAGAGGAAAAUGUUAUGAAUCAGUGACUGUAGUAGGAGUUUGGGGCUCUGGAGCUCUCAGAUAUUCAAACCUUUAACUUAGUGGUGAUGGGUGAUUUUCUCAUGUAAUUUUUGAACAAUCUCAUGUUUCAAAGUAGAUCUAUAGAAGAACUAACAGAAUUACAUUUCUAUUUAGUUAACAUUGUUAAUGAGAAAUAGACAAAUGUGCCCUGGUCUAGGUUACUCAAAGGCUAUGUCUUCACCAGGCCAGUCAGUUUGGCUAAGUGGUUUGCACCAGUGAAAUGAAACAGUCUUUGAGGGGAUAGGAGAGAAGGGUAAACCUCAAACUACAUCACCAAAAUAUGUUAAAACCACUUUAAAUUGUUGACACAAAGUGGUAAGGAAGUUAUCUGACCCAGCCUAACAAGCCUGGGUAGAAAUGGAUUUCAAGACUGAGUGCUUGUGUGUCAGCUGGUUAGGAACUAGGAGACCUGGCUAGCUCAACCCCCCAUUUACAGACUAGGAAAAGGAAGCACACAGCCAGCUAUGGCAGUCUCCUGUGUACUGCCUGCCCUUUCCCGGGCUUUUCUCUCUCUUGAAUCUCUUUUGUUGGAAUCAGAGAUUUCUUAUACAUGGAACUUUUAGAUGUACAUUGAAGCUUCGAUUUGAUUCCAAAAGACAAAAGUGUUGGGUACUUCUAGCUUGAAUUCAGAUCCACACAGUCCCUAAACACUUGAGGCUGGAUGAGCAGCAGAUUAAAUCAGCAGCUUCUAUGCUGAUGCAUGUGACUGAAUUAAAUUGGGACUUUUGGUUCCAUGUGGAUCCAUAAUUAGUAUUCUUCAUUGAGUGGAUUUUAGCAGGGGGAGAUAUGAGUAGAAGAGAGGUGUAGUGAAGAACCUCUCUGAACAAAUGAACCAGCAGUAAGUUUCCAAAAACCAGAAUCUAGGUAGGAGUUCUGCAGUGUGAAAUGACACAUUCUUUGAUAGGGGAUUUCUGUUCAUGCUAUUGUACCACUGUUUGUGCCUGACUCCCAGACUGAUUUGUAUUUUUUAUAUA